GGAGCUGUGGCUCAAAUGGUAGAGCAUUAGUCUUGAAUACAAAAACUCUGGGACAGUGCACAGUUCCU
rnacentral:tRNA from 1 species